rnacentral:rRNA from 1 species
CCUACGGGAGGCAGCAGUGAGGAAUAUUGGUCAAUGGACGCAAGUCUGAACCAGCCAUGCCGCGUGCAGGAAGACGGCUCUAUGAGUUGUAAACCGCUUUUGUACGAGGACAAACGCAGGUACUCGUAUCUGGCUGAAAGUAUCGUACGAAUAAGGAUCGGCUAACUCCGUGCCAGCAGCCGCGGUAAUACGGAGGAUUCAAGCGUUAUCCGGAUUUAUUGGGUUUAAAGGGUGCGUAGGCGGUCGGAUAAGUUAGAGGUGAAAUCCCGAGGCUCAACUUCGGAAUUGCCUCUGAUACUGUUCGGCUAGAGAGUAGUUGCGGUAGGCGGAAUGUAUGGUGUAGCGGUGAAAUGCUUAGAGAUCAUACAGAACACCGAUUGCGAAGGCAGCUUACCAAGCUACUUCUGACGUUGAGGCACGAAAGCGUGGGGAGCAAACAGGAUUAGAUACCCUAGUAGUC